rnacentral:misc_RNA from 1 species
UUAAGUUCAGCGGGUAUCCCUACCUGAUCCGAGGUCAACACUUAAGAAAGUACUCCGAAGAGGAGUGGUUAAAGACCGCCGCCCACAGAUUCACGCCGCGUACAUGCUCGGUUAAAAGCUCCUCGUACCGGUUCCAUCUGGGACGCCGUCACUAUCUUUGAGGCCGAUUUUGUUGACAAAUCCAGCCCAACACCAAGCCG